rnacentral:rRNA from 1 species
CCUACGGGGGGCUGCAGUGGGGAAUAUUGGACAAUGGGGGGAACCCUGAUCCAGCCAUGCCGCGUGUGUGAAGAAGGCCCUCGGGUUGUAAAGCACUUUCAGUGAGGAAGAACGCCUGGUGGUUAAUACCCAUCAGGAAAGACAUCACUCACAGAAGAAGCACCGGCUAACUCCGUGCCAGCAGCCGCGGUAAUACGGAGGGUGCGAGCGUUAAUCGGAAUUACUGGGCGUAAAGCGCGCGUAGGUGGCUUGAUAAGCCGGUUGUGAAAGCCCCGGGCUCAACCUGGGAACGGCAUCCGGAACUGUCAGGCUAGAGUGCAGGAGAGGAAGGUAGAAUUCCCGGUGUAGCGGUGAAAUGCGUAGAGAUCGGGAGGAAUACCAGUGGCGAAGGCGGCCUUCUGGACUGACACUGACACUGAGGUGCGAAAGCGUGGGUAGCAAACAGGAUUAGAUACCCGAGUAGUC